GAUUGCAACUUUUUUACCAUUCGCAAUAAAAAAGAUACCAUACCUCUCUGCAAUCGCGGCUG
rnacentral:ncRNA from 1 species